rnacentral:rRNA from 1 species
AGUGAACGCUGGCGGCAGGCUUAACACAUGCAAGUCGAACGGCAGCACAGUAAGAGCUUGCUCUUAUGGGUGGCGAGUGGCGGAAGGGUGAGGUAUACAUCGGAACCUACUCUUUCGUGGGGGUUAACGAAGCGAAACUUACGAUAAUACCGCAUACGACCCACCGGUGAAAGCAGGGGAUCUUCGGACCUUGCGCGAUUGAACGAGCCGCUGUCGGAGUAGUUAGUUGGCGGGGUAAAGACCAACCAAGGCGACGAUCCGUAGCUGGUCUGAGAGAAGGGUCGGCGACACUAGAACUGAAACACGGUCCAUACGCCUACGGUAGGCAGCAGUGGGCAAUGUUGGGCAGUAGUCGCGAGCCUGAUCCAGCCAUACCGCGUGGGUUGAAGAGGCCUUGGGGUUGGGAAGCCGUUUUGUUGGGAGAGAAAAGCUGCAGGUUAAGACGCAGCUGUACUGACGGUACCCGAUGAAUAAGCACCGGCUAACUUCGUG